AGCUAUAUAACGAAUUGAAUAAACGAGCCAAUUCGAAGUCUAUCUUGAAUCAAAUUAAAGCCUAAUAAAAAUCGAAACAAGCCGAAGUUGAGCUUCAAAUUCGAGCCUGAGCUCAGUAAAAAUUUCACAAAAGCUUGAGCUUUUCAAAUCCCGCUCGGCUCCUUCGCACCCUUUGCUGCGAAAAAACCAGACUUCUGUGCUCGCUCACUCAUCGCUGCACACCUCAAACUCGUCUUUGCUUCCUUUUCUGCUACUCGCUUCUUCUUCUUAUUAACUCUACCAAUUCACCUGCAGAAACUGUCUCCACCAUUUCAAUUCCAGAUUCAUCAGCUGAAGGAAAAGCUGGAAGGAUGCUGGAGUUGCUAAGGAAAAGGAUCCCAAACAAAGGGCAUUCGACGGAGUAUCUGACACUUCCUCUCAAAUUGUGUCUGUAAUUUUUCUUCUCAUUUCGUUUACUUUCAAUAUCGGAUCAAGAAUUUACCGCGUUUGCACAAAAAUCGUUGACAGCUCCUGCUUAAUUUGAAAUGUGUUUGAGAGUGCACUUCAUGCUUAUGUUCGUGCUUCCAUACUAUUUGGUUUCAUUGAUUCAAGUCUGUUUGGUGUAUUCAGUAUUUUAUUUUCUAUUAAUAGUCGACUUUACUAACCAAUUAUCAUCUGUUGUUGGAAACUGUCGUAGUCAUCUAAAAAGGGUCGUAGUUCAUGUCAUUUAUCUGAUGCAGCUCUCUAUAACUUGAACAGAUACAUGUAGAAUAUUCCUCAAUUGGCAAUUGGGUCACAGUUCAUUGCAAUAGAAGCUGCUGGAAUAUUACCAUUAGAAAGAACACGUUCUUUAACUUUUCCUUGGCUUAAAUUGUCAUGUUGAUAUUUGGAGUGAAUAAUGAAUGGAGACUUGCUCAAUUCAUAUUCAUUAUCAAGUGAAUUUGUUUACUUAAUUCUUUUUAGAGAGUCAUUGAAUUUGGUGCUACUCAAUUUAUUAUCCCCAGAAAUUUUCCAAUUUGUUACAUGCCUAUAUAUCUUAUAGGAUUUCACUCCAAUGAUUCCUGUGCAUAUGAUGAAUUUCAUUGCCUCAAAAGAAUGAAUAUCACAAUGAACAACUCCGGCAAGCAAUUGAAGAAUUGCACCAAGAGCAUCCAAAUGUGACUAUAGUAUACAGAGAUUGCUACAAUGCAUACAAGUGGAUUUUGCUGAAAGCUGCAUUACUAGGAUUUGAUCCAAAAUCAUUGCAAAAAGCUUGUUGUGGGAGUGGAGGUGUUGUGGGAGUGCAGUUGAUUAUGACUUUACUCUUGGUAGAAUGUGUGGAGCUCCUGAUGUACCGAUUUGUCCU